UACAGAGGCCUCGAGCGUUAAUCGGAAUCACUGGGCUUAAAGGGUGCGUAGGCGGCGCUGCAAGUGCCUUGUGAAAUCCCAUGGCUUAACCGUGGAACUGCUCGGUAGACUGCAGCGCUUGAGGUUGGUAGGGGCUGCCGGAACUCUAGGUGGAGCGGUGAAAUGCGUAGAUAUCUAGAGGAACGCCCAAGGCGAAGGCAGGCAGCUGGGCCAAUUCUGACGCUGAGGCACGAAAGCGUGGGGAGCAAACGGG
rnacentral:rRNA from 1 species